CAAAAUAGGACAGAGACAUGAUCUUUGGCUUGAAAAGGUUCAAAUCUUACAAGAUUUAAUUUCAGUCAAAGCUUCAAGACUUCUCGUCAGCUAAUAAUGGAGCUGAAAUUGUGGCUCCCGAUUCUGAUGGUUUUUGGGAUGGCUGAAUCUCUAGGCACGAGCAAGGACUGGUCCAUAAAAGUGCCAUCAAAAAAUCCCUGUUCUUCAAGGCUCAUGUGUGGUCAUUCCCUGUACGUACAUUUACCCCCGGAUAGAUAGCAUCGAAGACAUGGAAGGGAUACUGGAAGAGACGGGGCACAGUUGUUGCAUCAAAUUUCCCCAAUUUGAAACUAACGCGUGAGUUCAAACAUCGAUCCAGAAUUAGAGGAACCCUUCAAAGCGGCAACUGCACCUGGCAGCUGAAUCGUGUCAGAACAACCGACACUGGUCCGUUUCACUUCAAAAUUGAAAUCCCACAACAUAAAAGCCACAGUUUCUCAAAAAAUAAGGUCACCCUCAAUGUCUUCCGAGUUCCUGAGCCGCCCAUCAUGUCUGUUGCAAUCCAACGUAAAGUGACCGCCACCUGCAAAGUUACUCAUGUCUGUCCAUCAUCUCCUCCCAAAUUCUCCUGGAGCCACUAUGGAAAGAUAAAAACGAAGUCAAAAAAGCUGAAUAAAUGGUUGUGGUCAACAAAGUCGACUCUCACCUUUAUCCCUCACAAACACGACUACAACAAGCCUUUAAACUGCAGCGUAUUGUUCAAAGGCAAUAAGACUACAAAGGGCUCUGUGCUUCUCAUCAAGUAGAGUGUCAAGUGAAACUAAAUACGGAGUACUAAAUUAGAGCAAUAUUUUUAGAGCUAUCUGCCAUGAUGACAAAGUGAUUUUGCAGAAAAAGGCCUGAAUUAGUAAAAAAAAAAAAAAAAUGUAUACGGACAAGAAAUGCUUAUUGUUGCAUGCUUUGAUUCAUAUUACCUUUUGAGUUUAACUUUACCUAAAUCUUUCAAAAACGUGUUGGAGGCACAAAUGUUAGAAUUUUUUUUUUUUACCUUUGAUUAUUUUCUAAUAGGUUUUAUGGAUUAAUUUUGUUUAGCUGUUUUCUUUUACUCUUCAUAAACUGCAAGAUCAUACACUGACUAUUAAAUAUACAUCAUAGUCCAAAGUCUACAAGUUUCCUUGUUUCUUUGUAUUAAAGCUUUCAUCAAAGUGCUAAGAUUAUGACAUUUUUGUGUUUUUUCUCUCU